AGGCUGAUAAGUUAAAUUUAAACUGUGGGGUUCAUGUCCCCUUAAUAUGCAUUUGCAUUUGGCUGA
rnacentral:tRNA from 1 species